GCCCAUCGUCCAGUAUAAGACAGAGUGCGAGGAGGAGGAGACCAUGUCGGAGAGCUCAAGUAUAAACCCAAUGAACAAUAGGUUGUGACAGCAACGGUAAAGGAAACUGAAGUUGCUGAAUGGAUAGAACAUCAUUUGUAAAUCUUCAUCCAUCAUCACCAUGGUAAUAAACUCUGGACGAUGACACCAUGUUCUGUCUACAAUGGUAUUCGUGGAAACCAAGUUGGAAAGCAGUUGCUAUAACUCACUUACCACCCACUAAAUGAAUGUUGCCAUAGAGCCACAUGAAGACGUCAUCCUGAUGGCCCUUUGUUGCAGAUGGGUGAGAGGGCAGCAGAUGCACUGGCUAACGAAUCAGGAGACUCAGCGGGAUAACAGGCAUGUAAGCUGGCAUGUGCCUCUCUACAUAAAGCUUCAUUAAGGAGCUUUAUACUGGCAUUUGUUCUUUCAUUUGCACAUUACCAAAAGAUCCAAUAAAACCAGGUAACAUUUCAUAGAAAGUAACUGUGGACAGGCAGAAGUUCCACACAUUCACAUAAUAUGAACAUAGGUAAAGUAUUUCUACGCAUGAGACUAAUUCAGUUCUGACAGUUUUCAGUUCUGACAGUUCCUUUUAACCAUUGUAAUUUCUUGGCCUCUGAUAUCAUGCCAAGGCCUGAAUUCAGGAGAUAAAUCUAUUAUUCUGCUUAAAGUUCUUCAUUUAUUGAAUAUCUUUAUGGAACACAAUGGAAUGCAAAUUAGGCCUAAAUCAUAGUGAGGAAAUGGACAAAAGAACUUCUAACAGUCUUCUGCAACCAUGGCUCCAAAUCCACACCGUUCUAAAUCACCAUCACCAAAUAAUUCUGAACGUAUGAAUCACUUAAAUUAAAGGCAACAUGGUACCCAAAGAAACAUGGAAAGUAUUAUGUAUACCGUGCAAUGAAAGGUAGUUUACUUCUUCAUGUGUGUUACUUUUGCAAAA